rnacentral:rRNA from 1 species
CCUACGGGUGGCAGCAGUGGGGAAUAUUGGACAAUGGGCGAAAGCCUGAUCCAGCCAUGCCGCGUGUGUGAAGAAGGCCUUCGGGUUGUAAAGCACUUUCAGUGGGGAAGAAAGCCUUGGGGCUAAUACCCUCGAGGAAGGACAUCACCCACAGAAGAAGCACCGGCUAACUCCGUGCCAGCAGCCGCGGUAAUACGGAGGGUGCGAGCGUUAAUCGGAAUUACUGGGCGUAAAGCGCGCGUAGGCGGUCUGAUAAGCCGGUUGUGAAAGCCCCGGGCUCAACCUGGGAACGGCAUCCGGAACUGUCAGGCUAGAGUGCAGGAGAGGAAGGUAGAAUUCCCGGUGUAGCGGUGAAAUGCGUAGAGAUCGGGAGGAAUACCGGUGGCGAAGGCGGCCUUCUGGACUGGCACUGACGCUGAGGUGCGAAAGCGUGGGUAGCAAACAGGAUUAGAUACCCGGGUAGUC